rnacentral:rRNA from 1 species
GCUUUUGACCAAAUCACCAUGAAUGCACCCGGUUUCAGCAAAUCUCUGACGCUAAGCAGGGGUUGACUCUGGUUAGUGCCUGGAUGGGUGAACGCCAAGGCUUGCCAGGUGCUGUCGGCG